rnacentral:rRNA from 1 species
UACGUAGGGUGCGAGCGUUAAUCGGAAUUACUGGGCGUAAAGCGUGCGCAGGCGGUUCUCCAAGUUCGUUGUGAAAGCCCCGGGCUCAACCUGGGAAUGGCAGUGGAAACUAGGGGACUGGAAUCUGGCAGAGGGGGGUGGAAUGCCGCGUGUAGCAGUGAAAUGCGUAGAGAUGCGGCGGAACACCGAUGGCGAAGGCAGCCCCCUGGGCUGAGAUUGACGCUCAGGCACGAAAGCGUGGGGAGCAAACAGG